UAUGUGCCAGCCGCCGCGGUAAUACGUAGUGUGCGAGCGUUGUCCGGAAUUACUGGGCGUAAAGGGCUCGUAGUGGUCUGUCGCGUCGUCUGUGAAAUUCCGGGGCUUAACUCCGGGCGUGCAGGCGAUACGGGCAUAACUUGAGUACUGUAGGGGUAACUGGAAUUCCUGGUGUACGGUGAAAUGCGCAGAUAUCAGGAGGAACACCGAUGGCGAAGGCAGGUUACUGGGCAGUUACUGACGCUGAGGAGCGAAAGCAUGGGUAGCGAACAGGAUUAGAUACCCUGGUAGUCAAGGGCG
rnacentral:rRNA from 1 species